ensembl:lncRNA GFOD3P Gfo/Idh/MocA-like oxidoreductase domain containing 3, pseudogene
ACAACCAGGGACCGCAGCUCCCCGCUCCCCAGGUGUGGGGGCUCCGACACGAACGCCUCUGCUCGCAGGGCGGUGAGCGCAGAUCCCACGGGUCCCUCGGUCGGGGGUCGAGGCUGCUUCCGUUUCCAUCCCGGACCCGACAAUGGGCGGGAAAAAGAAGGCUUUACACGACUACGCGGCGGAGUUCACCGACCUGGUGGUGAAGCACCUGAUUGAGCACAGUGACUCUGGGGACACGUCUGUGGUGGAGACCCUUUACUGCAGGGCCUGCGAGCUGCCCGUGCGCGUGCGGAGGGACCGCAUCCUGGAACACCUGUCCUCGGGCAGGCAGCACGGCCUGCGGACGCCCAUUCUCAUGUAAAUGUCAGUGCCAACGCUGGUGUUUCAGGAGUCAUCCCAGCGGGCUGCGGGCUAUUUUAGGAUUCUCUGCCCUGCAAACGUUUCCAAAGUACGUGGACAGGCCGCCUGAUGACACUACGUUUACGGGAUCUGCUAGUGGCUUGCCUACUUAGGGAGUAAACCCUGUGAAGUCUCGCAGUUUUGUUAAAGUGUGCGUGGCCACCUGAAUGCUGCCUUAUCACAAGCCAGAUACAUACUGGUCUGUAGGGUAACUCCCCACUGUUGAUCCUCUGAGAUGAUUGUGGACUGGGUGCUGUGAGUCCUGCCACUUUGUUUAAGUGAAUGUGUCUUUUGUCCAGCUCAGCCGCCUCGGAUCUCGCUGCCACCAGCCUUACUGCACACCCGUGCCACCCGCCCUUGCCCCGUCAGCCUCAGCCUCAGCUCAUUCUCUCAGGCAGUCCCAGCAUUGGCACGGUACCUCCUCCCGCUGUGGGCCACACGUCUCUGCUCCCUGUCAACCCUCCUGCCAUCAGCACCACCACCAGCGACUUGUCUGCCCGGGAGGAUGCAACACCAUCUGCCUCCACCGGCCACCUUUCAGUGUUUCCUGCUUUCCAAGUAAAGAUACCAGCAGUGCCCUCAGAGCAGACCAGCCAGAGUUUUUCUGAAGCCUCCCACAGGGUGCUCCCCGGAGGAGGCCCGAGAUGCUCUCGUGACUUUGGAGCCGGGGUGGCUGGCCACCUUGGCCUGGGCAUCUUUGGGGUGGGCUUCGGGAGCCCGGCACUGCUGCAGAGUGUGGUGGAUGAGAACAGCUGCUGCUUGCUGUACGUGGUGGAGGACCAGCUGUGUGAUGUGGAGCAAGCCUUCAGAGCUGAGCAUUUGGGCCAACACCAGAGUGGUUCGGGAACAGGAUGCAGACAUUGUCCUCAACGACCAGCGGCACUUUGAUCCGGUUUUCCAGUUCUUGCACAAGCAAGUUUGUGUCAGCCACGCCCUGGGGAGGAUCCACUGGAUCACCGCCGUCACUGCCUGUUCCCGGCGGCCUCUCCGGCUUCCCUAAAGAGAGCAGCUUCCCUCGAGACCAGAAGCCAGAGCUCACCCUCCCUUGUGUCCAGGUGGGACUUUCUACAACGCUGCUGUGCACGACGUGGAUGCCGUAUGCAUGUUGCUGGGGGAAGCCACUCCGGACACUGUGUUUUCUCUGGGACAUGUCUUCUGCCCAGAUAUGGCCGCCUUAAAAGAUGCAGAUGCUGUUGUGAUCAGCAUGAAGUUUCCCUGUGAGGCCGUGGUUAGCGUGGACAUCAGCCAGCACUGCACAGACAGCUGCGACCAGGACGUCAGCCAGCACUGCACAGACAGCUGCGACCAGAGACUGGAGGGAAAUAACCUCCUGAAAUCACCAAAGAGCAGUUCCUCAGGGCCUUCCGGGUGACCGUGGCCGUGGAGCAGUCGUGGUGAAACCGGUCAGCUGUGGACCUGCCCUGCGAAUCGGCAGAGGCCUCCGUGGUGAAGACAGAAGCUCCGUGAACCAACUCGAGGCUGGAGCCAAGAUCCUGCCUGAUAUCCAGUUGCCUGUUUCACUUGUUACUGUUACUGGGAGAGGGAGACAAAACCUCAUGGCAAUCUUGUCCUCACUGGAGACUCAGAAGGGGAAGCAUUGGGAAACCAUGUAUGUUUCAUUUCUGGUUUAACCAGGCUUUUCAGGAUGGGACUUCAGACCAAGGACACAAGUUGGGCUUGCUUAGGUGUUUUGUGUUGUGCGCAGGCCUCAGAGAUGCUCUUCCGGUCAGAGUUCCCUUGGCAGGGCCUUGGAGGCCUCUGGUUGGCUCUCUCAGGAAGAGGGCAGGUCAGGGAUUGGGCGGUGUAAAUUGACUCAGAAACCUGCGGUUUCAGCUUUUCUGUGGCAAACAGGGCCGAGGGCUGGUGAAGCUGUUAAGGCUAAAUGUCGCAUGCAUGAGGCGGGCUGCAGGCCUCCUUAGGCCUUUUUUGGGGUAAUUACACCAGUAUUUAAAAACAUUUUUUUUUGUUUGUUUUGAGAUGGAGUCUUGCCCUGUCACCCAGGCUGGAGUGCAAUGGUGCGAUCUCGGCUCACUGCAACCUCCGUCUCCCAGGUUCAAGCGAUUCUUCUGCCUCAGCCUUCUGAGUAGCUGGGAUUACACGCGUGUGCCACCACGCUCGGCUAAUUUUUGUAUUUUUAGUAGAGAUGGGAUUUCACCAUGUUGGCCAGGCUGGUCUCGAACUACUGACCUCGUGAUCCACCUGCCAUGGCCUCCCAAAGUGCUGGGAUUACAGGCGUGAGCCACCAUGCUCGGCCUAAAAAACAAUUUUCUUGAAGAAUCCGAUUUUGUGCAUAGUAAUGACACAGCACCAUUCCUGAGAAAUAGGAAAUAUAUGUGUGUGGUAUGAAAAGCCCAUAUUCUGUUCUUGUCACCUGAAUCUAGGCUUCCUCUUUGGAUGUGAACGCGGGAAUGAACAGUGGCUGUUUUCCACCCAAAGGGGCGUGGAGACCUUUUGGAAACGGGCUUUCUCCUUUCCAUUUUGCAGCCGGGGGCGGGUGGAAACCUUCCUUCGAAGGGUAGUGCCUUGGGGAGCAGCAGACCUGCUCUGAGUCCAGCUUAGCUUUCCAAAAUUCUGUGUGGAACUUACUGGAGAUGUUUUUAUAUAUUUGAAAAUAAUGGCCUGUAUUUCUCACGCUAUACUUAAAAAAAAUAACUAACCUUUUAAACAAAGAUAUUCAAACUCACCCUUG